GACGAACGCUGGCGGCGUGCCUAAUACAUGCAAGUCGAACGCUUCUUUCCUCCCGAGUGCUUGCACUCAAUUGGAAAGAGGAGUGGCGGACGGGUGAGUAACACGUGGGUAACCUACCCAUCAGAGGGGGAUGACACUUGGAAACAGGUGCUAAUACCGCAUAACAGUUUAUGCCGCAUGGCAUAAGAGUGAAAGGCGCUUUCGGGUGUCGCUGAUGGAUGGACCCGCGGUGCAUUAGCUAGUUGGUGAGGUAACGGCUCACCAAGGCCACGAUGCAUAGCCGACCUGAGAGGGUGAUCGGCCACACUGGGACUGAGACACGGCCCAGACUCCUACGGGAGGCAGCAGUAGGGAAUCCUCGGCAAUGGACGAAAGUCUGACCGAGCAACGCCGCGUGAGUGAAGAAGGUUUUCGGAUCGUAAAACUCUGUUGUUAGAGAAGAACAAGGACGUUAGUAACUGAACGUCCCCUGACGGUAUCUAACCAGAAAGCCACGGCUAACUACGUG
rnacentral:rRNA from 1 species